rnacentral:rRNA from 1 species
CUACGGGUCGCUCCAGUGAGGAAUAUUGCACAAUGGGGGAAACCCUGAUGCAGCAACGCCGCGUGGAGGAUGACACUUUUCGGAGCGUAAACUCCUUUUAUAUAGGAAGAAGAUGACGGUACUAUAUGAAUAAGCGCCGGCUAACUCCGUGCCAGCAGCCGCGGUAAUAAGGAGGGCGCAAGCGUUACUCGGAAUCACUGGGCGUAAAGAGCGUGUAGGCGGAUUAAAAAGUCAGAAGUGAAAUCCUAUAGCUUAACUAUAGAACUGCUUCUGAAACUCUUAAUCUAGAAUAUGGGAGAGGGAGAUGGAAUUUCUGGUGUAGGGGUAAAAUCCGUAGAGAUCAGAAGGAAUACCGAUUGCGAAGGCGAUCUACUAGAACAUUAUUGACGCUGAGACGCGAAAGCGUGGGGAGCAAACAGGAUUAGAUACCCUAGUAGUC